rnacentral:rRNA from 1 species
UACGUAGGCAGCGAGCGUUGUUCGGAAUUACUGGGCGUAAAGAGUGUGUAGGCGGUGCUCCCAGUCUGUUGUGAAAUCUCCCGGCUUAACUGGGAGGGUGCAGCGGAAACUAGAGUGCUAGAGGGUGGGAGAGGUAAGCGGAAUUCCUGGUGUAGCGGUGAAAUGCGUAGAUAUCAGGAGGAACACCUGUGGUGUAGACAGCUUACUGGACCACUUCUGACGCUGAGACACGAAAGCGUGGUAGCAAAACAGG